UCGAAACCUGCAUAACAGACCCGCGAACGUGUGUUUUUACAUAAAGGGAGUCGUGAUUCGGGUCGGCGAAAUCCGGACCGAAUCCCGCCCCUUCGCACGGCCGACGCUCGCGUCGUCCGGGCUAACGAACCCCGGCGCGGAAUGCGCCAAGGAAAACCAAUAAAGAUGUGCCGCGCUGCCGUUUGCCCCGUUCGCGGGUUCCUUCGGUGGUAUUGCGGCCUCUCUUGAAAGUCAUAACGACUCUCGGCAACGGAUAUCUCGGCUCUCGCAUCGAUGAAGAACGUAGCGAAAUGCGAUACUUGGUGUGAAUUGCAGAAUCCCGUGAACCAUCGAGUCUUUGAACGCAAGUUGCGCCCGAAGCCAUUAGGCCGAGGGCACGUCUGCCUGGGCGUCACGCAUCGCGUCGCCCCUCCCAAUCCUUAGGGUGACGGGUAGGGGCGGAAAAUGGCAUCCCGUGUGCUCCGGCUCGCGGCCUGCCCAAAUGCGAUCCCGCAUCGGCGGAUGUCACGACAAGUGGUGGUUGAACACUCAAUUGUUAUAUUGUCGUGCCUAUCACCGCCGCAUGCAAGGGAAUCAAUUUGACCCAACGGCUCCUUUGAGGUGCCUUCGAC
rnacentral:rRNA from 1 species